GAGAAAGUUCCAUGGAGACCUCAUUGCAGUCUUCCAGUACUUAAAGGGAGCUUACAAGUGAAGAGGGAGACAGGCUUUUUACACAGUCUGAUAGUGACAGAUAGGACAAAGGGGAACAGUUUUACACUACGAGAGUGGAGAUUUAGAUUAGAUGUUAGAGGGAAACCUUUCACUCAGAGGGUGGUGAGGUGCUGGCAAAAGUUGUCAAGAGUUGUGGAUACCCCAUCCCUGGAGGUGUUCAAGGCUGUGGGCAAAGUGAUCUAAUGAAUGGCAACUAGAUAAGGUUUAAGGUUCCUCCCAACCCAAUCCAUUCUUUGAUUCUAUGAAUCUUUGAUUUCAGUUCUGUCUACAUUUCCCGAUCCCACCAGCCUCUCCCACCCUCCCUUCUCCCUGGGAUUCACUCCUCACUGCCCUCAUUUCUCUACUUCCCCACAUCUGUGUUUCUUCACCCUUCUGACCUACGCAAGUCCUGCCCAUGCUCCCUGUAACUCCUGCAUCCCCUCCCUGUGGUCAUUCCUACACACCAUUUAUUUUCUUUCUGGAAACAGAAUGUUUUCUGAAUUUUCCACUGCACACAGCCUCCUCCUCCUUCCGUCCCAAAUCACUUUUCCUGCAGAAUGUAAUCAGCUUUAUUUUCUACCCCUUUAUUUUUUCUGCUGCUCCAGUGGCCACUGCCUUGGGUUGAGUUUCAGGGUCAUUUCCACUUUCCUGUGGAAAAAGCUACCCGUCUCACUGAAAAACUGGCAGGCUAAAGGUCUUUUGGCACCUCUGCCUCCCAUUAUAGUUUUGGAUUGCAAGUGAGGCUCACACUUCCCUGCUUAGAGAAUGUCCUCCCUUUCCUUGUUCCCUUUGUGUGUGUGUUUUUUGUUGCUUUUAUUUUAAACAGCAUUUUUCAUGUUGUUUUCCCUGUAGGGCAGUGAGUGACAAGCUUUAGCCAGGGUAAGCUUCAGCCAUCAGGAAGAACAAUCAAAACAUAUUUUUAUUUCUCUGGGUUUCUGGAGAGCUGUGGUAGAAUAUGACAAAACAUAAGCAAAGCUAUUUUCAGCAGAGGUCUUUAUCCCACAGACUUUGUACUGAAAUUGUACCAGAGCUCCUUGCUGCCCCAGGCAUCCCACACUCCUCGAGGCCGUUCCCAGAGCUCCAAACUUUCCGCAGAAGCUUCUGGAGUUGGUGUUUUGCCCCAAGAUGUGUUUUGAUAUUGAUGGCAAAGCUAAACAGGGGAGAGCCUUAAAAGAAAGAAGCAGCAGCUUGCAGCUAAAUGUGGACAUCAUUAUCACAUUUUUAGUGACUGACUUUCCGGACGAGAGAAGAAACCUCAUGUGCCCUGCUUCAAAUGCUGCUGUUUACCUUUCAUAACUGCCUGAAUCAACAAGAUGGAUAAAUAUUUUUCUGUCAUGACGGGAUGAGAGAAAGAUGGAAAGAACAACAUGUGACAGAGCCUGUCUUCAUAGGAGAGGUGCUUCAGCCCUCUGAUCAUCCUCCUGGAUCUCCUCUGGAUCCUCUCCAAACGCUGCACGUCCUUCCUGAGUGAGGGACCCCGUGCCUGAUGCAGUACUCCAGCUAUCAGUGGAGCUCAACUGAUUUAUUCUUGAUGAAGAUCUUGCCUGCAACAAGGUACUAAAAUGUAAGAGAUGGGCUGUGCAGGAAGUGCCACUGCUGGAAGUGUCUCCAAAGAAAUUCUGGCAGGUCCUGAUUAUCUAUGCAGACCUUGGAUUUGUCUCUUGGAUAGUGUCUGGCUUCCAGCAAAGCUGAGGAGUAUUCCUGUUCUAUAUUGGUGUGUGGGAAAAUCACAUUGACUGUACAGAUCAAUGGGUCAGACACAUAGAGGCCUUCUGUAUGCAGGCUAAAUAAAGAUCUGUUGAAAUGUGCCAUAUAACCCACGUUCAGAGAGCUGAAUUUCCCAGAAACAAGCUAGUAUUUCAACCAGCCCCUCGGUGUGAAUAACACUCAGUAUCUUCUGCUGGAAGUGACUGAAAGGAUCUAGCAUUUUCCUAGAAAAAUGACAAUCUACUAUUUGGGAGUUGCCAGAGAAUGAGGCUGUUUCCUGCAUUGAUUGAUGCUCUGAAAUGCUCACCCACAACCAACUCAAGGGUACUCCUUCCAAGAACACAAUGCUUGUGACUUUAGUGGAAAUGAGAGAUAAGGAGAAGAUCCUCCAGGCUGCCUGGAAAGAGAGAAGCAUUGAAUUCCAAGGGCAAGUGAUAACAAUUUCUCCAGACUUCAGCAAGAAGAUACAAGAAAGAAGGUAGAACUUUAAAAAGCCUUUGUAGAUUUUAAAUCCAAGCCUGUCGUCUCUUAUGAAAAUGGGAGUUCUACAUGAAAAUAAAGAUUACUCCUUCUGGGAUGCAGAUUGAGGGAAACAGUUUUUAACAGAUAUCACCUCCAUUGUUGCUGUGGGCCAUUUGGAUGGAUUAAUUCCUCGUGUUUUAAUGGCAGAGCCCAGGUAGCACAUCCUGGCAUUGUGUGCUCUGUGCACAGAAACCCUUGGGAGUUGCAAACUGUCCACGAAGUCUACUCCAUCAUGGGGACUGAGACAGAUGGCACAGCUGCCAAAGCUGGCAGGGCUGAGCAUCUGGUAAUGCAUUGAUUUAAAGCAGUUCUCAAGCAGCGUCCGCAGUGUUGUUGAACUGAGAUGAGCACAGUUCAGAGUUACUAUCCUGCUGGAGCCCAAGGGUGUUGCCACAGCCUCUUAUUGGAAGCAAGUACCAAAUGCUUUGGAAGGUGAAGAAAAGCAGCCUCCCUUCUGGGCAACCUGUCAGGAACUGCUGAUAUCAGGGAGGGAGUCAGAGCUGUGGAAGGUUACUGCUACCACUGUUUCACAGUGAAGUUUGGAUUCCUUUAGCAAAGCUCUUGUCAGGAUUUUAUUUUAUUUUUUGGCAUUGUCAGUGCUUUCUCUCUUUCUCUCCCUCCC
ensembl:lncRNA